rnacentral:rRNA from 1 species
GAUUUCCUACGGGGGGCAGCAGUGAGGAAUAUUGGUCAAUGGGCGCAAGCCUGAACCAGCCAAGUCGCGUGAGGGAUGACGGUCCUAUGGAUUGUAAACCUCUUUUGUCGGGGAGCAAGGCCCGCCACGUGUGGCGGGAAGGAGAGUACCCGAAGAAAAAGCAUCGGCUAACUCCGUGCCAGCAGGCGCGGGAAUACGGAGGAUGCGAGCGUUAUCCGGAUUUAUUGGGGUUAAAGGGGGCGUAGGCGGAAGGUUAAGUCAGGGGGCAAAUGUCGGGGCUCAA